rnacentral:pre_miRNA from 1 species
UGAUUGUCCAAACGCAAUUCUUGUCUCCGCUCCACCGAGAGUUGAGUCUGGACAUCAGG